UACACACGAGCAACCAUGUCUAAGGGGCCUGUGGUUGGUAUUGAUUUCAGCAUCACCUACUCCUGUGUGGGUGUUUUCCAGCAUGGAAAAGUAGAGAUAAUUGCCAAUGAUCAGGGAAACCGAACCACUCCAAGUUACGUCGCCUUUACUGAUACUGAACGAUUGAUCGGUGACGCCGCAAAGAAUCAAGUUGCGAUGAACCCCACCAACAGGGUUUUCAAUGCCAAACGUCUGAUUGGACGCAGAUUUGAUGAUGCCUUUGUCCAGUCUGAUAUGAAGCAUUGGCCGUUCAUGGUUGUGAAUGAUGCAGGCAGGCCCAAGGUACAAGUAGAAUACAAGGGAGAGACAAAAAGCUUCUAUCCAGAGGAGGUGUCAUCUAUGGUUCUGACAAAGAUGAAGGAAAUUGCUGAGGUCUAUCUUGGGAAGACUGUUACCAAUGCUGUGGUCACAGUGCCGGCUUAUUUUAAUGACUCUCAACGGCAGGCUACCAAAGAUGCUGGAACUAUUGCUGGCCUCAAUGUACUUAGAAUUAUCAAUGAGCCAACUGCUGCUGCAAUUGCUUAUGGCUUAGACAAAAAGGUUGGAGCUGAAAGAAAUGUGCUGAUCUUGGACCUAGGAGGUGGCACUUUUGACGUGUCAAUCCUCACUAUUAAGGAUGGAAUCUCUGAAGUCAAGUCUAUAGCUGGAGACACCCAUUUAGGUGGAGAAGACUUUGACAACCGAAUGGUCAACCAUUUCAUUGCUGAGUUUAGGCGUAAGCAUAAGAAGGACAUCAGUGAGAACAAGAGGGCUGUCCGGUGUCUCCGUACUGCUUGUGAACAUGCUAAGCGUACUCUCUCUUCCAGUACUCAGGCCAGUAUUGAGAUCGAUUCUCUCUAUGAGGGAAUCGACUUUUAUACUUCCAUUACCCGUGCCCGAUUUGAAGAAUUGAAUGCUGACCUGUUCCGUGGCACCCUGGACCCUGUAGAGAAAGCCCUCCGAGAUGCCCAACUAGACAAGUCACAGAUCCAUGAUAUUGUCCUGGUUGGUGGUUCUACUCGUAUCCUCAAGAUUCAGAAACUUCUACAAGACUUCUUCAAUAGAAAAGAACUGAAUAAGAGCAUCAAUCCUGAUGAGGCUGUUGCUUAUGGUGCAGCUGUCCAGGCAGCCAUCUUAUCUGGAGACAAAUCUGAAAAGAUUUGCUGCUGUUGAUGUCACUCCUUUUUCCCUUGGCAUUGAAACUGCUGGUGGAGUCAUGACUGUCCUCAUUAAGCACAAUACGACCAUUCCUACCAAGCAGACACAGACCUUCACUACCUACUCUGACAACCAGCCUGGUGUGCUUAUUCAGGUUUAUGAGGGUGAGCGUGCCAUGACCAAGGAUAACAAUCUGCUUGGGAAAUUUGAACUCACAGGCAUACCUCCUGCCCCCCGUGGUGUUCCUCAAAUUGAAGUCACUUUUGAUAUUGAUGCCAAUGUCAUUCUCAACAUCUCUGCUGUGGAUAAGAGUACAGGAAAAGAGAAUAAAAUCACUAUCACUAAUGACAAGGGUCAUUUGAGCAAGGAAGACAUUGAGUGUAUGGUCCAGGAGGCUGAAAAGUACAAAGC